AGGAUCUGGACUGGUCAUUCUGCAACGUCAGCGAUUCAGAAGAUACGAACGAAAACAUUGAAGACACGUGAACAUUUCUCAAAGUAGAACCUCCGUUAAACGGCUUAUUAUUAAUUAACUUCUUAUUAAAGUGCCUAUGUCACUUGUGGGCCCUUUAUGGAUUUGAAAAGAGCGUAAAAAAAUAGUUAAUAAGUUCAAAAGUUGUUUUUUUUAUUUAGUGCAAUAAUUUCGAAGAUACAUGUCUCUAAACUACCUACAGUUCCUGAGUCCCAGGCUCCUAUGCACAAUGGACAGUUUCGAAAAAGACCAAAUUCAAUAGCCGUGUUUAGACCCCAGGAGGCUGGGACUCAGGAACAGUCCGUUGUCUCAAGGUUAGUUUCAACUCAGGAAAAUUAUCCGUGGAUUGGAACGGACAAGAAAAUGUUUCUUUAUGUUAAAGUCAUUAGUUCCAACCCAGAGCUCACAAGACAAAGAAACAUUUUCUUGUCCGUUCAAUCCACGGAUAAUUUUCCUGAGUGGAAACUAGCCUUAAAGGCUUAUAUCCUCAAAACUAUUGCACUGAAUAAAAAAAAGCUUUUGAACUUAUUAACUAACUUUUCACGCUCUUUUCAAAUCCAUGAAGGUCCCACAAGUGAUAUAGGCACUUUAACGGAACGCGAGGUCUGUACAGAGAAAUAUCGGACUUUUUUGAGGUCUUUUUUGUACAAACAAGAAAUGCAUGAUUUGAAAUGCAUAUUAGUAGCGUGGUACACGUUUAGUCGAAGAAAACAAAAAAAUACCAGUGUAUUCCUUCUUUUCCACUAAAAACCAUUCGCAGAUAUCUUAUUGAUAACAAAUUAAAUUAUAUGACUGGUUGAUUAUGACAAUGACAAAAGACGUAAUUGACUUACAUUAACAAAAGGAAUAUUGUUCUUGUUUCAUUCUUUAGAAAAUCCAUCCUAUAGCUUAUUCUUUUGUCAUUGUCAUAAUCAACCAAUCACAGAACAUCUUCCUAGAGCUUCGUGCCGAUCCCAGCCAAUCACAGUCCGCCAUUUCACCGAAAGUGAUGCUUGCCAUAUAAUAAUAACAUUGUAAAUGCUUAAUAGAGGUGGCCGCUAAUAGUAGAGAUACGCCAAAAUUCGACUUUCACUGAGGCAGUAGGAGGGGAAUAAAUCACCAUAUUAGAAAGCAAUUCUAUUUUGCCUUCAUCUUGUCCCGUUAAGGCUAGUAAGUACAUUUCUGCUAACACGUUUUUCUUCGAUUUUCCUAGUAAACUCCAAUAUUGUUAAAAACGUGAAAUUUCAGGUUUAUUUAUAGAAAAACUAACUUGUAUCAUUAGAAAGCUUACAAAGAACUACAUAUAAGACAUGUAAACGUUACCUUUUCAAGCGGUGUAAUUCGAGUCACUCAGUCACUACUCUUCCAAGGUGUGAAAAAUAGGCCGAAAACUCGCAACAAUCCUGAGCUAGUCUGAAAACACGUUUCCAAAAGCUCAUAAUUCAAGAAGAAUUUGAAAAUCAAGGUAACCGCUUAAAUUACUUAUAUGUAGUUUUUUUGUACGCUUUAUAUGCUAAUGUAAGCUCUAAUGAUGCAAGUUAGUUUUUCCUAAACUUGCCAAAAACUAACUCGUUAGUGUCGGUAAACGAGAAACGCUUUUUCAAUCAGUUGGUAGAAGUCUUGGGUGUGAAAAUGGAUUCGCAGCCUCGUACCCAGGACUCUGGGUACGAGGUUGAGGGAUUCGAAGCGAAAUAAAAAGUACGAGUGUAGUUCUAUCGCUAAAAUAUAUUUUAACGCAACACGAAAUAAAGAUAUGUCAUGUAGGCAAGUGAAAUAAUCUCAUCCCAAUAUUCGUUUAAAGUUUAGUGUUGGUUCAUGCAUACAUGCGUUAGAAAUUGUGGUUAGGGACGGAUCAUUAUUUAGGGGGGUGGCACCGAAGAGAAAAGGGUUGGG
rnacentral:lncRNA from 1 species